rnacentral:rRNA from 1 species
CAAGAAAUCUCGAGCUUGCUCGAGAGAGUAAAGUGGCGCACGGGUGAGUAACGCGUGGGUAACCUGUCCUUAAAUCUGGGAUAAUCCACCGAAAGGUGGCCUAAUACCGGAUACAGCCCUGAAAACCGUGGUUUUGAGGAUGAAAGCUGACCUCUUCUUGAAAGUUGGCGUUUAAGGAGGGGCCCGCGUGCCAUUAGCUUGUUGGUAGGGUAAAGGCCUACCAAGGCUACGAUGGUUAGCUGGUCUGAGAAGACGGCCAGCCACACUGGAACUGAAACACGGUCCAGACUCCUACGGGAGGCAGCAGUGAGGAAUCUUGUGCAAUGGGGGAAACCCUGACGCAGCGACGCCGCGUGAGUGAAGAAGGCCUUCGGGUCGUAAAGCUCUGUCAAGUGGGAAUAAAACUGUGCAUUUAAUAGAUGCACGGUAUGAAGGUACUACUAAAGGAAGCACCGGCUAACUCCGUGCCAGCAGCCGCGGUAAUACGGAGGGUGCAAGCGUUAUUCGGAUUUAUUGGGCGUAAAGAGCGUGUAGGCGGUUGGGUUAGUCAGAUGUGAAAUCCUUCUGCUCAACGGAAGAAGUGCGUCUGAAACUGCUCAACUUGAGUACGAGAGAGGAAAGUGGAAUUCCCAGUGCAGAGGUGAAAUUCGUAGAUAUUGGGAGGAACACCUGUGGCGAAGGCGACUUUCUGGAUCGAUACUGACGCUGAGACGCGAAAGCGUGGGGAGCAAACAGG